rnacentral:rRNA from 1 species
CACAAGUAAGUAUUAAGUGGGGGUUCCAGUUCAUUUACUUUGAGUAAAUUAGAGUGUUCAAAGCAGCCUGUAUGGGCAUUGAAUAGAUUAGCAUGGGAUAAUAGAAUAGGAUUCUUACCUAUUUAUUGGUUUAUAGGUUUAGAAUAAUGAUUAAUAGGGAUAGUUGGGGGCACUUGUAUUCAAUAGUCAGAGGUGAAAUUCUAGGAUUUAUUGAAGACAAACUUCAGCGAAAGCAUUUGCCAAGGAUGUUUUCAUUAAUCAAGAACGAAAGUUAGGGGGAUCGAAGACGAUUAGACACCGUCGUAGUCUUAACUAUAAACUAUGCCGACCAGGGAUAUGAGAGUUUUAAUUUAUACUAUGAAUAAUAGUAUAAUCUCUUGUGGACCUUGUGAGAAAUCAUAAGUUUUUGGGUUCUGGG